UUUUUUUUCCCAAAGAACCUGUUCGAAUGCAUGUUUCCAAGAAAUCAUAACUCAAAGGAGCAAAGGAAAGUAGUCCCUGUCUGGUGGCCAUGAACAUAACGGCAAGUUAGAUAAACCUUAGGGACUGGUUCACUCAGCACCUAGGAAUUCAGGUAAUGCAAAAGCACAGAUGGCAGCAGUGGGCACAAAUUGAGGUAGGAGUUACCUGUGGGGGGUGGGGGCAGAGGGAUUACAAACUUAGAGGUAACCACCAAAGCCAAGAAAGGAUGGACAGAGGCUGGUUACAACUAAGAAACAUUAAAGAGAGAAAACACAGAGUGAUUGAAGUAGGGAGGCUGAUGAGUGAGGGAGAGACUCUACAAGCCAAUCUUGCCUAAAGAAAGAAUAUAUAUACACCGACAUCUCUUUCUUGUUAGGGAUCCUGAGAAAUUAACAUAGAUUCGAUUAUUCACAUUGGUAAUUUGGGGACCUCCCUAACAGGUUACAUCAACAUCUUCUCUUGUAUUUCUUCCAGAACAUCCAAGCAGAAAACAAAAUCAAAUCACAGAUUUCUGUCAGUGCCUUGAAUGACUCUGCCUUUUCCAUUUGAAUGCACCAAAACAAAUCCCUAAAUGAAAACAAAAAAAAUUAACGACAACUGCUACUCUAACUUUGCAAGUAUGGGGGAUUUAAUGGGUGGCCCUACAGUGAAACAGUACUACUUUCCUAACAGAAAACAAAGAAAAAUUCCAAUGGCAAAUUUGUAGGGAAAAAAAAAAAGUUUUACUGCUCAGAACAAAGCCAUCAAUGUUUUUGGCCAUCAUGAGAACACACACUCUAAGUUUCUAAAGCAGCCAGUAAUCUGAAUCAUUGCAGAUUAAAUAAACAUGCUGAGUUGAAUCAAAAAGUAAAUAAAACUCCUCUUCUGACAUAAGUUUGUAUUUACAGCAAUCCUGUGACUAAAAGCAACUUAAUUUUGGAUCAUUAAAACAAAACAAAACAAGACAAAAUAAGGUUCCUCAACAUUUGUUAAUUAUACAAUGUAUCCAGAAAUCCAGGACCUGAUAAAAGUCUAGAAAAAAUUAGUUGAUAAAUCAAAAAGUAUUUUUAGAAAAAAUGAAAAUUUUUUAAGGUAGGCCUAUUUUCAAACUAAUCCUAAACACUGAAGAAAAAAAAAAACCUACCCAUAUCAUCCUAUGGCAUUAGUGAUUGUGACAAAAGUUAGUGACACUAUUACAUGCUGAUUUUUAAGAAAUUCAGCAUCACCUAAAUGAAAACAUUUCUGGUUACUUUGCAAUCAAAUAUUAUAGUGGAAUUAAAUAGCCUGUACCUCUAAAUAAAACUAAUUUAUAUCAUAUUCCAAUAAUUAGGGAACAGUUUGAUCUGACCUCUCAAUCUUCAACUAUUUUUUGGUUUUUGUUUUUUUUUAUAGUCUAAAAUACUAAUGAAAAGAAGAAAAAAAAAAAAAAAAACUUGAGCAGAACACUCAGAAGCCUGUUGGAAACUCUCAGAUGAGCCCUUAGGUGCUAUGAAACUUACUGCCCCUGCAAAUGUAAAGAUGAUAAAUAAGACAUAAUCAAUUGGACCCAGUAGCGUUUAGGAAGUGAGAGAAGAGAAGACCCUGCUCCCUACUGGGAGACAGUAUGCCUUAGUCCUUAGAUAUUCGGAUUCUGGAAUAUGGAGUGAUAAACUCAGAUUUUGAGGGUAGUUGAACAUUAAGUCAUUGAGGAGUUUCACUGAAAAAGUGAAACUGUCAGGUGGGCAAAAAGAGAUAGUAAGGGGGACAAAACUGAGGAUACAAACCCAGGAAGUGGCCUACUGCAAUAGUCCAAGCAAGGCAGGGUAAGGAUCUGAUCUAGACACCAGCAGUUAAUACAGAAAGGAGGGAAGAGUCACAGGAGAAAUAUCUGCAACAUUCCAGCUUGGUGGCUUCUGUGCCAUAUUAGUACCAGACGUAUAGAGUACCCUAGAUACUGUUGAUAAGCCUUAAUUUUUCUUCCAUAAUCAGGACAAUUAGACUGUGUUGCAUUUAUUUCUUAGAAGUAUCAAUCACAGAGACUGACUAACUUGUCUUUCUUCAAAGCCGAGAACUGUUCUAGGAGCAAAGUAAGUAUUGGAUAAAUAUUUGCAUAUAUACUUGCAUACCAACACUCACAGAAACAAUAGCAAGAAAGCAAUCUUGAAAGUGUGCAGAUGUAAUUGCACAUAUAUAUCAAUCUGUAGCCUCAAACGUGUUACUGCACACUUUUGAAAGCUUUGAGGAUUUUAAGACUCAAUCCCUCAAGCUGUUUGAAUGCUAUUUCCAAGCAAACAACCCAAGUUGCUUUUAAACUAGUUCCAAGUUGUUAAUGCAAACCCUUAGCACAGCACAACCAUCUUUUCUAAUUACACAAUUUAGACAAUAAUCAUGACAAAGGUUUUGCCUGCAUGAAUAUAAAGAGACUCUUCUGUCCACAGAAUAAUCAAAUACAACUUUCAAGUUAAAACUGUUGGCAGUUUUCCAGUGUAGUUUUCAAGUUUCUUGCUCAUUUGUUUGGCAUAAUCAAAAACAAACAUUACAUCCAAAAAAAUCAGAAUACACAUUCUUCUCAAGUGCGCAUGGAAUAUUCUCAAGAAUUGAUCCACAUAUUGGGGGAAAUUUAACCUCAACAAAUUUAAGAGUAUAGAAAUUAUUUCAAGUAUCUUCUCUAACCAUAAUGGCAUGAAACUAGAAAUCAAACACAGGGAAAGAAAUGAGAAAAAACUUACUACAUGGAGACUAAACAACAUGCUAUUAAAAAACCAAUGGGUAAAGGAGGAAAUCAAGAAAGAAAUGAAAAAAUAUAUAGAGGGGAUUACGAUGGUGGAAUAGAAAGACUGAAGCUCAACCUCUCUUCUAAAAACAAAAAAAUUCACAACUAAAGACUGAGCAUUCUUCACCCAAAUGGACCAGAAACCUUAAAAAAGAUAUCCUACUCCAGAAGAAAAAGAGGAGGCCACAUCAAGAGGUAGGAGGGGCAAUUUCGUGAUAUAAACAACCCCAUAUCUCCUGGGGGGAAGCCCCACAGACUGGAAACUAACUGGUUCACAGAGACUCACCUACAGGAGUGAGAGUUCUGAGCCCCACAUCAAACUCUCACUUGUGGGGAUCUGGCACAGGGAGAAAGAGACCCUGGAGCAUCUGGCAUUGAAGGUCAAUGGGCUUGUGUACAGGAGCUCCAUGGGACUGGGGGAAACGGAGACCCCAUUCAUGAAAGGCGCACACAGAUUUUCACAUGAACUGGGUCCCAGGGCAAAGCAAAGUCUCCAUGGGAAUCUGGGUCAAACCUGACUGCAGUUCCUGGAGGACAUCCUGGGAAAAAAGGGGUGAAUGUGGCUUGUUGUGAGGGAAGGACAUUGAAAGCAAAGCUCUUGGGAAUAUUCAGCAACUAUGCCUUUCUCUGGAGAUGGCCAUUUUGGGAAAAUAUGGCCCCACCUGUCAGUCAGCUGCUGAGAAGCCCCAGGGCAAACAACAAGCCAGGUGGGAUCACAGCCCUGUCCCUCAGUAAACAGGCUAUCUAAAGACCCCUCAGGCACACAGCUGCCUCUAAUCCCAUCCGGAGACUAAGCCCCACCUACCAGAGGGAUAGGAAUCAGCUUCACCUACCAGUAGGUAAGCACCAGCCCCUCCCUUCAGGAAGCCUACAGCAAGCCCCCCAUACCGACUUCAGCCACAAGGGGGGCAGACACCAGAAGUAAGAGGGGCUACAACUCUAUUUUCUGGAAAAAGGUCACCACACCAAAAACCUAUAAAAAUGAAAAGACAGAGAACUAUAACUCAGAUGAGGGAGAAAGGAAAAACCCCAGAAAAUCAGCUAAGUGAGGAGGAGAUUCUCAGACUCCUGGAAAAAGACUUUAGACUGUUGAUGCGGAAGAUGAUGCAAGACAUUGGAAAUAAACUGGAGGCAAAGAUGGAUAACUUACAGGAAACACUGAGCAAAGAGAUACAAGAUAUACAACUUAAACAAGAAGAGAUGCAAAAUACAAUAACUGAAAUAAAAAACUCACUAGAAGCAGCCAACAGCAGAAUACGGGAGGCAGAAGAACAAAUAAAUGAAGUGGAGGACAGAUUAGUGGAAAUUACAGAUGCAGAACAGAAAAGAGAAAAAAGAAUGAAAACAAAUGAAGAGAGUCUCUGAGAACUCUGGGACAACAUUAAACACACCAACAUCCAUAUUAUAGGGGUGCCAGAAGGAGAAGAGAGAGAGAAGGGGACAGAAAAAAUAUUCCAAGAGAUAAUAGCCGAAAACUUUCCUAACAUGGAGAAGGAAUCACUCGUUCAAAUCCAGGAAGCAUAACGAGGACCAUAUAGCAUAAACCCAAGGAAGAACACCCCAAGACACAUAUUAAUCAAACUGACCAAAAUUAAAGACAAAGAGAAAACCUUGAAAGCAGCUAGGGAAAAGAAACAAGUAACACACAAGGGAACCCCAAUAAGGUUAUCUGCAGAUUUUUCAGCAAAAACUCUGCAGGCCAGAAGGGAGUGGCAUGAUAUACUUAACGUGAUGAAAGGAAAAAACCUCCAACGAAGAUUACUUUACCCAGCCAGGCUCUCAUUCAGAUUUGAAGGAGAAAACAAAACCUUCACAGAUAAGCAAAAGCUGAGAGAAUUCAGCAACACUAAACUAGCCCUACAACAAAUACUAAAGGAACUUCUAUAGGCAGAAAAGAUCAAGAGAAGGAAAGAAAAAAGAGAAGAAAAAACAAAUCUAAAGCAAUUAAUAAAAUGGCAAUAAGAACAUACAUAUCAAUAAUUACCUUAAAUGUUAAUGCACUAAACACCCCAACUAAGACACAGACUGGCUGAAUGGAUACAAAAACAAGACCCAUAUAUAUGCUGUCUUCAAGAGACCCACUUCACUUCUAGGGACACAUUCAAAUUGAAAGUGUGAGGACGGAAGAAAAUAUUUCACGCAAACAGGGAUCAAAAGAAAGCUGGAGUAGCAAUACUCAUAUCAGAAAAAAUAGACUUUAAAAUGAAG
rnacentral:lncRNA from 1 species